rnacentral:lncRNA from 1 species
GACCAUGCUGCUCUGCUUCCCUUCUCUCUCUGCCUCUAGGCAGCUUCUUGCUUCAUGGUUAAAUGUCCCUGAGCAAGGAGCCUGGGCCAAUCCUGCUGGGGCUGGACCUGGAGGCCCGCCCCAGGGAGGAGGGACUGAGCCCUGGCCCAGAUGCAAGGCGGCCUGAAUCGCCGGUCUUGAGACGUGUCUGUGAGUGCAAACCUUCAGAUUUGUCAGCCCAACAUGUGAGCAAAGGCUUUCAAAACCUCCAGGGUGAUGCGCAUGCUGGUGCACUUGGGAAAUGUUAUUUUGGCACCUGUCAUUCUCACCACGAUAUUUUAAAUACUUUUUGAAACAGAGCUUUAUUUUAUAAAAAAGCUAACCAGCAAGCAAGAAAAAAAAAAAAAAGAAACCAAAACAAAAACUCAAAUCAACAUGAAGGAAUGAGGCUUUCUUUUCCAUGGUGUGUUUCUUCCCAAGCUUUCUAAAUCUGCCAGGACAUCUGAAGAUGAGAAGAAAACAUAAGUGGAUGGAAAUCACCCUCCAGCUACCCUGCUUUGAGAAAGAACAUCAAACAUAUAAAAGAGUAUUUCCUGGAGGCUAAGGGUGGGUGUGCUACGGCGUCCAGGAAGAAACCUGUGGUGGGAAUCAGGGCUGAAGUUCUGCUGUCGGCUCUGUGUCGCUUGUGGUGGCUUUGGACAAACCUGUCACCCUCCAGUUUUCAAGGGUUCCUUUCAAUCCAAUGAUGUGAUUGGGGCUCAGAGAUUUUCGGCUUUUCUCAGUGGUGGAGUCUUUGGUUGAAAUAAAUUCUUAGGAGAAGAUCAAGAUAUAAAUCCGAUACAAAGAAAAAUAAAGAGACCCAUGGGUGGGGUGAUGAGCUGGAAUCUUGCUUGGCCAUCCUCCGCAGCUUCCAUUUCCCCUCACUGGGGCUUCCUGAGACAAUGUCAGAAACCCAGCGAAUACUGUGAGAUGCUUUCAGAUAUUACUGUAAGGGCGUAAUAGUUACACUCGAGCCUUCAGACAGAAACUACAUACUGAGUUCCCUCGCACAUCUGUGGACCCAGUUGCUAGAAAUGGAGCGACCAGUGAAGCUGCAUUCCUUACACUGAUUCUUUCAAUGCCUCAGAUAUUUCAAAUUUUUUCCAGCUUUGGGCCUAUUCAUCAGGAGUUCACUCUUCCAAAAAUACACUGCCUCCAUAUUUUUGCAUGAAUAACCCCUUUCUCUUCGUUUAAAUUUUAAAUAGAUCCAAUUCCGGAGUCCUUUCCUGAGAAGCAGGCUCUUUGGGAAGAGCCUCACUGGAAUUGAUUUCUUGCAAGGCCUCAGAAGAAGCUCAGCAAUACGCUCACACACUGUACGUUUUUGUGAAAUUUGUGAGAGUCAGAUAUUCCAACAGCAAUCCAUUAUGAUCAUUCUUUUUGUUCUCUCACCUUCCCCUCUGUCACAUUUCCUUCAUGGUGGGUGGCUUUUGAAAUCUUCAUUUCUCAUUUUCUUCAUCUUCAAAAUGAGAAAAAGAAUAGUAUCUACACCCGAGUGGUGUUUCAAGGGUUAAAUAUAUUCAUACAGGAAAAUUGCUUGGAACAGGGCCUGAUGGGCAGGAAAUGCUUACUGUCUUAUUAUUUUCACUUAUUUAGAAAUCAACAAAAUAGUAGAUUACUGAAUUCAAGUCCUAGCUGGACCUUUGAAGACCAUAAGUAAAUUGUGACUAUUAAGAAUAUCAAAGAAGGCAAGGCCUAAACUCCUCCCUCUCGAGUUGAUGCAGUGAAAGCCCAGAGAAUGAAAUUGUUUGUCCAAAUCUUGCAGCUAGGGAGGGUGCAAGGUGAGACUGAUGCCCAGGUCUGCUGAUGGAAAGUCUGUCAUCGGAUGGAAGGAAAGAAGCCUGCUGGGAGAAUUUGCCCAAGCCUCUACUGACCUCUUUCUCACACUCAGUCCUGUGGAUUCCAGCUGCUUAGCAACAGCUAGAGAAGAACUGGGGUGUCCCAAACAGCCUGCUGGGCACUGACAGAAGCUAUGACUAAGGUCCCUCACACCACUGUGUAUCCAGUUGUUAGAAAAAUGGAGCGGCCAGUGAAGCUGGCCAGAACUUGUGACUCCUAUUGCCACCAAACUGAUUUUGCAUAAGGCGGACGUGCAUUUUAGAAUUUGGGUAAAUUCGUUUUGAGGCUACUGCUUCUUUCUAAGGUACCAGCAGGAUGCAGAAGCAGAUCGUAGAAGUUAUAACCGGAUCUCAUUAUCACACACAAGGAUCAACUCCAGAGGGUAGGAGAUCUCUCUAUAAAGAAUAAAUUCAUACUCUGGGAGGGGGACUGCAAGAUGGAGCUCGGCCUGGGAAACUGAGUGAGACCCUAUCUCAAAAUAAAAAAUAAUAAAAGAAAAAGGGCUACAUGUAGCUCAGUGCUCAGGCACCAGGUUCAAUCCCCAGUACUGGAAAAAAUAAAAUAAAGAAUAAAACCAAAAUAUUCCUGGAAGAAUGCACGGGUGAAAUGCAGACAGCCUUGUCACUGUGUCACCAACAUCUACAUGCCAUAAAAAGGGUUGAUAAGUUGGAUAACCGUAAGGAGCAAACACAUAAAUAAUGCAAAAUAGGACUUUCCUCAUGGCAAAACAAAGAGGUGCAACCCCUUCCCACACUAAAAACCUACACAUACCAUUAAUAAAAUCAAACCCAGGGAGGGCUGGGGAUGUAGCUCAGUGGCACCGGG